rnacentral:lncRNA from 1 species
GCUUCUGGCAGCCGCGCGGAUCCGGGGGCGGCGGGGCGGGACUGCUGCGGUCUCUGGGGGUGCUUUGGGGCUUCUGUGCCUAGUCUGCAAUCUGUUAGUGGGGUUAUAUUUUAAUAAAAGAGCUUGUGUGUCCGAAGGGGAUUUGCCAAGAACCAAACUCACCCUUCUGGGAGGGAGUUGCCAGAUGGCGGGAACAGGCGGCGUAAACCUUACCAGACGUGAGCCCAGGCUGCUCAAGUGUCAUUCGCGUCUUGAAGCUCUUGCCCGCCUCCCUUUGCAAGCGCGUCUAAUGCCAACUCUACCUUGCCCUUUGCUAAACCAGCCCUCUAAUGUGUUAUCGUGCCUCACGUCAGACAAUGGCUGGGCCUGUCUCUCUUUCCCCUUGGUUCUGUCCUCUGCCCUUCUCUUAAGCCAGAAGAACAAAACACUCCUUAGAAUCGCUGGAGGAUCUCAUUUCCACCACAUUCCCGUGUC